rnacentral:rRNA from 1 species
ACUGUUAUCCGGAAUUAUUGAGUCGUAAAAGCGAUCGCAAGCCGGUCUUUUAAGUCUAAAGGGGAAAGCCUUCGGCUCCAUCCGAAGAAGUUGCAUUGGAACCUGGGAGACCUUGACUGCAGAAGAUGAACAGUGGAACUCCAUGUGUAGCGGUGAAAUUGCGUAGAUAUAUGGAAGAACACCAGUGACGAAGGCGGUCAUCUGCUCUGCAGCUGACGCUGAGGCUCGAAAGCAUGGGUAGCGAACAGGAUUAGAUACCCUGGUAGUCCAUGACGUAAACGAUGAUUACUAAGUGUUGGAGGGUUUACGCCCUUCAGUGCUGCAGCUAACGCAUUAAGUAAUCCGCCUGGAGAGUACGACCGCAAGGUUGAAACUCAAAAGAAUUGACGGGGGCCCGCACAAGCGGUGGAGCAUGUGGUUUAAUUCGAAGCUACGCGAAGAACCUUACCAGGUCUUGACAUCUUCUGACAGUCUAAGAGAUUAGAGGUUUCCUUCGGGGACAGAAUGACAGGUGGUGCAUGGUUGUCGUCAGCUCGUGUCGUGAGAUGUUGGGUUAAGUCCCGCAACGAGCGCAACCCUUAUUACUAGUUGCCAGCAUUAAGUUGGGCACUCUAGUGAGACUGCCGGUGACAAACCGGAGGAAGGUGGGGACGACGUCAAAUCAUCAUGCCCCUUAUGACCUGGGCUACACACGUGCUACAAUGGAUGGUACAACGAGUCGCGAGACCGCGAGGUUAAGCUAAUCUCUUAAAACCAUUCUCAGUUCGGACUGUAGGCUGCAACUCGCCUACACGAAGUCGGAAUCGCUAGUAAUCGCGGAUCACCAUGCCGCGGUGAAUACGUUCCCGGGCCUUGUACACACCGCCCGUCACACCAUGAGAGUUUGUAACACCCAAAGCCGGUGGGGUAACCUUUAGGAGCUAGCCGUCUAAGGUGGACAGAGAUUGCAA